UGGGGAGGAUGGGGCUGGAACCUCUCCCUCCCUCCCUCCUGAGUAACCCUGACCUUUGGCACUUUUCCCAGUGAGCUGCUGUUGACGGAGGCAAGUUGGAUGUCGGGAAUGCUGAGGUGAAGUUGGAGGAAGAGAACAGGAGCCUGAAGGCUGAGCUGCGGAAGCUAAAGGACGAGCUGGCCAGCACUAAGCAAAAACUAGAGAAAGCUGAAAACCAGGUUCUGGCCAUGCGGAAGCAGUCUGAGGGCCU
rnacentral:lncRNA from 1 species